UCGAGCGGACAGAUGGGAGCUUGCUCCCUGAUGUUAGCGGCGGACGGGUGAGUAACACGUGGGUAACCUGCCUGUAAGACUGGGAUAACUCCGGGAAACCGGGGCUAAUACCGGAUGGUUGUCUGAACCGCAUGGUUCAGACAUAAAAGGUGGCUUCGGCUACCACUUACAGAUGGACCCGCGGCGCAUUAGCUAGUUGGUGAGGUAACGGCUCACCAAGGCGACGAUGCGUAGCCGACCUGAGAGGGUGAUCGGCCACACUGGGACUGAGACACGGCCCAGACUCCUACGGGAGGCAGCAGUAGGGAAUCUUCCGCAAUGGACGAAAGUCUGACGGAGCAACGCCGCGUGAGUGAUGAAGGUUUUCGGAUCGUAAAGCUCUGUUGUUAGGGAAGAACAAGUGCCGUUCAAAUAGGGCGGCACCUUGACGGUACCUAACCAGAAAGCCACGGCUAACUACGUGCCAGCAGCCGCGGUAAUACGUAGGUGGCAAGCGUUGUCCGGAAUUAUUGGGCGUAAAGGGCUCGCAGGCGGUUUCUUAAGUCUGAUGUGAAAGCCCCCGGCUCAACCGGGGAGGGUCAUUGGAAACUGGGGAACUUGAGUGCAGAAGAGGAGAGUGGAAUUCCACGUGUAGCGGUGAAAUGCGUAGAGAUGUGGAGGAACACCAGUGGCGAAGGCGACUCUCUGGUCUGUAACUGACGCUGAGGAGCGAAAGCGUGGGGAGCGAACAGGAUUAGAUACCCUGGUAGUCCACGCCGUAAACGAUGAGUGCUAAGUGUUAGGGGGUUUCCGCCCCUUAGUGCUGCAGCUAACGCAUUAAGCACUCCGCCUGGGGAGUACGGUCGCAAGACUGAAACUCAAAGGAAUUGACGGGGGCCCGCACAAGCGG
rnacentral:rRNA from 1 species